ACUUAAAUUGAAGAGUUUGAUCAUGGCUCAGAUUGAACGCUGGCGGCAGGCCUAACACAUGCAAGUCGAGCGGUAGCACAGAGAGCUUGCUCUCGGGUGACGAGCGGCGGACGGGUGAGUAAUGUCUGGGAAACUGCCUGAUGGAGGGGGNAUAACUACUGGAAACGGUAGCUAAUACCGCAUAAUGUCGCAAGACCAAAGUGGGGGACCUUCGGGCCUCAUGCCAUCAGAUGUGCCCAGAUGGGAUUAGCU
rnacentral:rRNA from 1 species